rnacentral:rRNA from 1 species
GACGAACGCUGGCGGCGUGCUUAACACAUACAAGUCGAACGGAAAGGCCCUGCUUUUGUGGGGUGCUCGAGUGGCGAACGGGUGAGUAACACGUGAGUAACCUGCCCUUGACUUUGGGAUAACUUCAGGAAACUGGGGCUAAUACCGGAUAGGAGCUCCUGCUGCAUGGUGGGGGUUGGAAAGUUUCGGCGGUUGGGGAUGGACUCGCGGCUUAUCAGCUUGUUGGUGGGGUAGUGGCUUACCAAGGCUUUGACGGGUAGCCGGCCUGAGAGGGUGUCCGGCCACAUUGGGACUGAGAUACGGCCCAGACUCCUACGGGAGGCAGCAGUGGGGAAUAUUGCACAAUGGGCGGAAGCCUGAUGCAGCAACGCCGCGUGCGGGAUGACGGCCUUCGGGUUGUAAACCGCUUUCGCCUGUGACGAAGCGUGAGUGACGGUAAUGGGUAAAGAAGCACCGGCUAACUACGUG